rnacentral:lncRNA from 1 species
CAUCAUUUUCUCUGCAUCUCCUUUUUGAAGCUUAUUACAAUGGCGGAAACUGCUAUAGUAACAAAAUCAGAAAAUCCCCAUAUCGUAAUUUUACCAAGUCCUGGUAUGGGUCACUUAAUCCCUCUUGUUGAAUUUUCUAAGAGACUAAUCUCUCAACACCAGUUUUCUGUCACUCUUAUUCUCCCUACAGAUGGACCUAUCUCUAAUUCUCAGAAAAUUUUCCUUAAUUCUCUUCCCUCUUGCAUGGAUUAUCACCUUCUUCCUCCUGUUAAUUUCGAUGAUUUGCCUCUUGAUGUUAAAAUUGAAACUAGAAUCUCCCUUACUGUUACGCGUUCUCUUUCUUCACUGCGUGAUGUUUUUAAAACACUUGUUGAUUCGAAGAAAGUAGUUGCUUUUGUGGUUGAUCUUUUUGGUACUGAUGCAUUUGAUGUUGCCAUUGAUUUCAACGUUUCCCCUUAUAUUUCGUGAUGUUUUUAAAACACUUGUUGAAUCCAAGAAAGUAGUUGCUUUUGUGGUUGAUCUUUUUGGUACUGAUGCAUUUGAUGUUGCCAUUGAUUUUAACGUUUCCCCUUAUAUUUUUUUCCCUUCUACUGCCAUGGCUUUGUCUCUGUUUCUUUACUUGCCUAAGCUUGAUGCAACCGUGUCAUGUGAGUACAGAGACUUACCUGACCCGAUUCAGAUUCCGGGUUGUAUUCCUAUUUAUGGCAAGGAUCUUCUCGACCCGGUUCAGGACCGGAAAAACGAAGCUUACAAAUGGCUUCUUCAUCAUUCUAAGAGGUAUGGAAUGGCUGAGGGAGUAAUAGCUAACAGUUUCAAGGAAUUGGAAGGAGGGGCAAUUAAAGCUCUGCAGGAAGAAGAACCCGGCAAGCCACCCGUUUACCCGGUUGGACCACUGAUUCAGAUGGAUUCGGGUAGUAAUGUUGACGGGUCGGGUUGUCUGACGUGGCUGGAUGAACAGCCACUUGGCUCUGUUUUGUAUAUCUCGUACGGGAGUGGUGGGACCCUCUCUCAUGAGCAGCUCAUUGAAGUUGCAUCAGGACUGGAAAUGAGUGAACAAAGGUUCUUGUGGGUAAUUAGAUGUCCAGAUGACACUGUAGCCAAUGCCACUUAUUUUAAUGUCCAAGAUUCAACAAACCCUCUUGAUUUUCUCCCAAAAGGGUUCUUGGAAAGGACCAAAAGUUUAGGUUUAGUGGUGCCUAAUUGGGCCCCACAAGCUCAAAUUCUUGCCCAUGGUUCAACGGGCGGGUUUUUGACUCAUUGCGGAUGGAACUCGAUUCUGGAAAGUGUGAUCCACGGAGUACCACUCAUAGCUUGGCCACUUUAUGCUGAACAAAAGAUGAAUGCUGUUAUGCUAGCUGAGGAUAUUAAAGUAGC